UACGAAGGGGGCUAGCGUUGCUCGGAAUUACUGGGCGUAAAGCGCACGUAGGCGGAUCUUUAAGUCAGGGGUGAAAUCCUGGAGCUCAACUCCAGAACUGCCUUUGAUACUGAGGACCUUGAGUUCGGGAGAGGUGAGUGGAACUGCGAGUGUAGAGGUGAAAUUCGUAGAUAUUCGCAAGAACACCAGUGGCGAAGGCGGCUCACUGGCCCGAUACUGACGCUGAGGUGCGAA
rnacentral:rRNA from 1 species